CCCCCCCCCCCCCCCGGGGGGUAAUCUAGGUGGAUUUAAAAACUUAAUAUCCUAAUAUUGGCAGAUAACUAGAAUUUGGGUCAAAGUACAGACAUUGAAGUUUUGUUGCCAAAUUAGGGAUUUUAACAACAAUUAUCGAUGAUAUCGAACAAACUGAAGUCCUCUGUCAAACUUUGGGCGUACUCAUUUGUCUGUAUGGUCAAGUUUCUUGAACAAGCUUCCCACCCCAACUUGAAAUACUGAUUUGUAUGUGGCAUCAGUUUAUCAUUAUAUCCCAUCAAAAAUUUCUCUGCGGCUUCUUGAUUCUUGAAUAAUAGAAGACCAUAGCCCUCAGACUGGCCCGUCUGAGCAUUCCGAAUGACCUUCAUAGUCCAAAUCUCUGUACGAGCUCUAUAGAAACACUUGUGAUAGAGAUAGUUCUCGUCCAUUCCGGGCUGUAAGUUAUCUACCCGAAUACAACAGCAUCUGUUUCUGAUAGUUUCUGAUGAUUUUGCAGCAUAUGGAGCCACCCUAAAUAUUUGCAGCUGAUAACCCGUGUUCAUUUUUUCCCAUACUUUUGCUUGAUAGUGGUUCACUUCACCGAAGGGAUCCACAGCUUCUAAGGUAAUGUAAUAGACUGCAGCAGCGGCAGGCUCCAAGUUGAGAUUCAAAAUUCUCAAGAACUUGAGGUUUGUAUCGUGUUUCUUUCUGUUGUAUUGUUCUACUGCAAAGCACGCUGCACGUUCGCCUCUCUGAUAAAUAUGAUGAUGAUUUUUGGCGCAGAUUCUUGUUAUUCCACCGAGCAAAGUGGAACCAUCGUCUGUUGGUGUCACGUAGAAUCCCUCGCUAUUGUUCAAAUCGUCCAUGUACUCCGAGUAUGCAGUUUUAUCGAACGUUAAUUUCUCCAUAUUGGCCUAUUGCAAGAAAAAAAGGAUUGAACUUUUAGAAGAAUUCAAAAUUAGAUGAGAAGACGUUUUGUUUCAUGAAUCAUGCUAAUAUGUAGGUAUGCGUGUAUAUAUAAUAUAAUAUAUUGGUAGGUUACCAUGUCCUAAUCCAAAUUGGAGAGAGAGAGAGAGA
rnacentral:lncRNA from 1 species